UAAUACGUAGGGAGCAAGCGUUGUCCGGAAUCAUUGGGCGUAAAGCGCGCGUAGGUGGCCACAUAAGUCCGUUGUGAAAGUCAAAGGCUCAACCUUUGAAAGCCGAUGGAUACUGUGUGGCUAGAGUACGGAAGAGGCGCGUGGAAUUCCUGGUGUAGCGGUGGAAUGAGCAGAUAUCAGGAGGAACACCAAUAGCGAAGGCAGCUCGCUGGGACGUUACUGACACUGAGGCGCGAAAGCGUGGGGAGCGAACAGGAUUAGAUACCCUGGGAGUCCACG
rnacentral:rRNA from 1 species